UGGCAAAGAAGAUAACUGUUGAAUGAAACAUAAUGAUUGUGUUAUACGCUAUUCUGAGCCAGUA